GGCUCUGUGGCUUAGCUGGUUAAAGCGCCUGCCUGGGAAACGGGAGAUCCUGAGUUCAAAUCCCAGCAGGGCCU